rnacentral:tRNA from 1 species
GCCCGGCUAGCUCAAUUGGUAGAGCGUGAGACUCUUAAAGCUCUCUUUCAGCUAGGCAUCUCAAGAUUGGGGGUUCGACCCCCCCCCCCCAAUCGGGCU